UCCGGUUUGGCACCGGCAGUCCUCCCAGAGUCCUCAGCGUAACCUGUUAGCAACUGGAAGCGGGGGUUGCGCUCGUUGCGGGACUUAACCCAACAUCUCACGACACGAGCUGACGACAGCCAUGCAGCACCUGUGCAUGGACUCCGAAGAGGGGCUCUGGUUUCGCAGAGCUUUCCCAUGCAUGUCAAGCCUAGGUAAGGUUCUUCGCGUUGCGUCGAAUUAAACCACAUGCUCCACCGCUUGUGCGGGCCCCCGUCAAUUCCUUUGAGUUUCAGCCUUGCGGCCGUACUCCCCAGGCGGGGCACUUAAUGCGUUAGCGCCGGCACCCAGGGGGUCGCUCCCCCAGGCACCUAGUGCCCAUCGUUUACGGCGUGGACUAC
rnacentral:misc_RNA from 1 species